rnacentral:tRNA from 1 species
GUCCUCGUAGCUUAUGACUAAAGCAUGGCACUGAAGAUGCCAAGAUGGUUGUUCUCACACCCAAGGACA